rnacentral:lncRNA from 1 species
GUCGGUAGCAUUCAAACACUUUAGCAGUAUAAGUAAGAAUGAUCUCUUGUAUAACUAUCUGUUCAUCAAGACACACUGCAAAGCUGUCCAUCUUAGUCAUUUAGCUUCUAAAGGAUCUCUGAGUAAAGUCCCAUUGGUCAAAUAUCAGAUGAUCGGAUCUAUCCAGCUUGGAUCAUCAUUUAUUUGUAGCACCUCAUCAAUCUUGUCAAUACUCGUUGCUCGAGAUAUUCGAUGAAUAUUCGAUUGAGU